rnacentral:rRNA from 1 species
GACGAACGCUGGCGGCGUGCUUAACACAUGCAAGUCGAACGGAAAGGCCCUGCUUUUGUGGGGUGCUCGAGUGGCGAACGGGUGAGUAACACGUGAGUAACCUGCCCUUGACUUUGGGAUAACUUCAGGAAACUGGGGCUAAUACCGGAUAGGAGCUCCUGCUGCAUGGUGGGGGUUGAAGUUUCGGCGGUUGGGGAGUGGACUCGCGGCUUAUCAGCUUGUUGGUGGGGUAGUGGCUUACCAAGGCUUUGACGGGUAGCCGGCCUGAGAGGGUGACCGGCCACAUUGGGACUGAGAUACGGCCCAG